UACGUAGGGGGCCAGCGUUGUCCGGAAUCAUUGGGCGUAAAGCGCGCGUAGGCGGCCAGAUAAGUCCGGUGUGAAAGUCAAAGGCUCAACCUUUGAAUGUCAGCGGAUACUGCCGGGCUAGAGUCCGGAAGAGGCGAGUGGAACUCCUGGUGUAGCGGUGGAAUGCGCAGAUAUCAGGAAGAACACCAACGGCGAAGGCAGCUCGCUGGGACGGAACUGACGCUGAGGCGCGAAAGCGUGGGGAGCGAACAGG
rnacentral:rRNA from 1 species